rnacentral:lncRNA from 10 species
AUUCAUAAUCUAGACUUCACAUAGAAAAUAAUCAGCUGUGUGAAUAUGACUGAGUUCUCUGGGUCCAUUUUCUUCAACUACAAACUAGAGGGAACUAAAUAUCUUUUUUUCUUCUUACCUUCUUUGGUUCUAUGUUCCUACAUACAAAAGUUAUUUGAGGGCAGUUGGAGUUAAAGCAUGUAUGCAGUUUGAUGAUAAUGAUGAUGACGAUGACAAUGACAACAUAUAUCACAGAGAUGAAAGCAUGGACAUACUUUUUCCAAGAAAGAGAACUAAGACAAUUGUUGCAAGGUGGGGCUGAAAUCUGGACUUGGGAGGUGGCACAUAUCUGCUUGUCCACGGUGAUUCAGAAAUAAACAAGUGGCAUAAGUCAGAUGGAACAGAGAGAUUCCAGGGUCUUUGAAGGGCCUGAGGAAGACGAUCUUUCUCUUCUGAAUCUGAAUCUAAGACACUGAAGCCUGGAACCACUCACCUCUGCAUCUUGCCAAUCAAAGAGAGAAGCCUCCUGAGAGUGGAACCAACACAAAGCCAAUAUCAGGAGGAAACAAUUCAACCCAUUGGAUCCAGCAGGGCUCAACUUUGUGUUACUGAGCUAAUUAAUCCCCUUUUAUUUGCAAGAGGAAGAGUUGGUUUAGCUAUUUGCAAUGCAAAGAGUCCUAAUUGAACAGAUGGGAUUGUUUCUCUUUGUCUUUACAUUUGUUUGUGUAUUUGUUUUUGUUUGCUUGUUUAGUACAGGUAUGGAAGUAACUACAGUGUGUGAGACCACAGAUGAGAUAAAAAGAAUAUUGAGAAAUAUUUCUGGACACUAUUGGUUUCCAGCGUGGAACCUGCCUGAUGAACUUCAAGAAAUAUAAGCAGAUGACUAACAUUAUUUUAAAAUUAGCUUUAGUGGUAUGAAUUUUACUUUUUUCUCCACUUUUUAGUACUCUAGGACUAAGAGCCAUUGUUUGUGAUUUUAUUGCUAAAACAUUGAAAACACCAUUUUAAGGGCUUUGCUCAUACCAUUCUCUUAUUUGGGAAAGUCAUAACUCUUUCCCUGCCUUCCCUGCUGCACAAGCUCCCUUUGUUCAGACUAUGCUCCUACCCAGGCUCCAGUACCACUCAGUUCCAGCAUUUCCCCAUCCAUUAAUGCCAACCUUUAGUUCACCAAAUGGGCUCCCCUGCAUGUCCGUGGCAACCACUUCUUACGUCUCUCAAUACAUUUGCCACUUGGUGAUACAAUAGUCUCCCACUAGGCUAUAAGCUCUUUGAAGACAGGAAUUCACCACAUCAUAUUUCUGUUUUUAGUACUUAUCACAGACCUGGCCUAUGGUAGGUGCAUGGGAAAUCUUCUUUUAACCUCCUUUCUCCCCUCAAAUUCACUCUCCCUAUUUACCUAUGCUAUCUUGUUUAUUGAUGGCAUCACCUCUUGCCCUGUGGUUCACACUCAGGUUUGGCUAAUGGGAAGCAGGAGAUAAAAGGGAGAGAAAGUGAGGUUGAGAUGUUUUUCUGUUGACUUUUUCUACCAACCCACCGUGGGUUGGUAGAAACUCUCUACUUGAGGCUAAUAAUGUGAUGUAUCUAUCGCCCACCAGGUUACUUAAGGGGUGUAUGUCUGCUGCCUAAACCCUAAAGGCUGGGUGCUGAACCAAGGCCCUGGUGCCCAGUGGAGGAGCAGGUAUCCCUGAGAACCCAAACAUUUGGAGAGUGUCUAAGAAUCUACCAAGAAAACUAGUCUCAUUGCUCAAACACAGUAGACAAAGAGCGAGAAAAGUAGCUUAAAAACAGUUUAGAGACAGAAGUAGUGCAGAUCUCUAGAGCUGUCCUGCUGUAGUCCAGGAGUACCCUGUAUGUAAGUUUUAAUAAACUCAUCUACUUGUCAAGCUGGACUUGUCUGAGUCAUUCUUAGGUCUCUCAGCACCUUCCCAGUUUGGGGGUGGGGGACAUUACAGUCCCAAGUCUUUCUUGUAACAAUUGGUGUCAUGAAUAGGAUCCAAGGAACCAAACGAUGAGUCAGGAAGGAGUGUGUGCAUGGGAAAUCCGGGGUGGUUUGCAACAUGCACCAAGGGUGGAGUUGCCUGACUGCUCAACCUCUGUGGGCCACCACGUGAGUACAAAGAUGCUCAGAAAACUUUGGCAGGGACUGAGCACAUACUGUAAGAAGCUAAGAUAUUAAAGUAUGGUAAGGACAGCAAAUAUGCUGUUGUUGCAAUAAAACUGGCUCUCAAAAAUUGUUACAGCAGGAAAGGGAGAAAGGGUAGAAACUCCUGCGAAAGUUCAAAGGCAUGCCAGGUUUUCUAGAACUCCAGCUGGUUAUAUAUUAUGGCCUAUUCUUGUGCAAAUUUAAAAACUGAUGGGGCCAGGCAAGGUGGCUCACUCCUGUAAUCCCAGCACUUUGGGAGGCCGAGGCAGGCGGAUCACUUGAGGUCAGGAGUUGAGAACAGCCUCACCAACAUGGUGAAACCCCAUCUCUACUAAGAAUACAAAAAUUAGCUGGGUGUGGUGGCACACGCCUAUAGUCCCAGCUACUAGGGGGGAGGCUGAGGCAUGAGAAAUGCUUGAACUCGGUAGGUGGAGGUUGCAGUGAGCUGAGAUUGCGCCACUGCACUCCAGCCUGGUGACAGAGCAAGACUCCAUUUCAAAAACAAACAAAUAAACAAACAAACAAAAACUGAUGGAAAAUUAUGACAAAGAAUUUCAGAGCUCAAAUGGUUAAUCUGCAGCUACAGCAUUAAGGAGAGUCUUUUAAAUGUCUCUAUUUCUCUUUCCUCUUCUACCUGCUUUGAAUCUGCUGUUACUAAGCUACCAAUGUUGAGAUAAAACUCACUAAUUGAAAGAUACUUGGAGAUUUUGUUUUUCUUAUAUUGUUCAACCAGUUGUAGCUAAAAUGUAAACAGUAAAAGCUCAUUUGAAACUGAAAAGGGGGUAAAAGAGGUUUUUUAAAAAUAAAACUGUUAUAGAAACUGUUUACCCAAAGUUUUGGUCCACAACCUUCCUUGGAUUGCCUAUUAGGGAAAAGUUUAGCCAUGUGAAUAGGUCCCAGUUUUGUCAAAUAUAAUUUGGAUCCAGCUGUCUGUUGUAAAAUAAUGAGAUUUGAUGCUGUCUCAUGGAUAAAGUUCUGAAGUAAAGCUAUUGGAUCUUUGUGUGUGCUUAUACAUGUUUAAAUGUGUUUAUAUACAUGUACAUGUACAUGUAGUGUUAUAUAUUGUGUCCAGCAUGCUACCAAAUUGGCUCAUAAGGAAAUGAGUACUUAUAAAUGAAAUAAGUCUGAAUGCUUUUUAGGUCCACAUGAAUUUAAUAAUUGUUAAUAAAUAAGCUAGCUUUGAAAUUAUUGGUAAGAUAAAAAGAAAAAUGUCUUCAAAAGUGUCAGACACAUUUUUGCCUGGGUUUACUCAUUAGAUAAGUUUUCUAUUUGCUUCUGCUAGAUAUUUUAAGGUGUCAGGGUUUGACAUAAAGUUGGUAAGACCCUAAACCCAGCCCUAGCCUGAAUGAUCUUUGUGUGAUUUUUUAAUAAGCAAGACUAAUUUGAUAUUGUUGGUUUAAUAAAAAUAGCUACAUUGUCUGAGUUAUUGGCAAAACACAUGUCCACGUGUUUAGCUUUAAGGUUCUUGCUUAGAUGAAUAUCUAAUAUUUACAGUCUAUAAAAAUAAUUAAUAAAA